GGAAUUGGUAGUUCAGUGGUUAAGACAUUGGACUUCUGAUUGGAAGGUGGAGAGUUCAAAUCCCAGCACUGCCA